rnacentral:rRNA from 1 species
UACGUAGGUGGCAAGCGUUGUCCGGAUUUACUGGGCGUAAAGAGCGCGCAGGCGGUCGUUCAAGUCGCGUGUGAAAGCCCCCGGCUCAACUGGGGAGGGUCACGCGAUACUGAUCGACUCGAAGGCAGGAGAGGGUAGUGGAAUUCCCGGUGUAGUGGUGAAAUGCGUAGAUAUUGGGAGGAACACCGGUGGCGAAGGCGGCGUUCUGGACUGCAACUGACACUGAGAAACGAAAGCCAGGGGAGCAAACGGG